AGGAGAAUGGACCCAGGAAACACGCACUUGUGUAUUAGCGUAAGCGUUGCCCUUAGACAAAACCCCGGGGAGGGGAAGAUGGCUAUGAAUAUGUGCAAUAAAAAACGGGUGAGACCGGGAGCGCAGAAGCUGGGGACAAUGGAAAAAUGAGAAAAGGCUAAACAAAGGGCAGCAAGUUCUGCCCGUUGAGGGCUUGUCUGAGGAAUGGUAAACCACGAGUGCCAUUGCGUGGCAGUACACCAAGAAACAACACCACGGGUUGGGCAGCCAUCAGUGAAUACUAUAAGCGCAUCAAUUAUGGGGGUUUGCUGGCAAAAAUUACGAAAUACAGUGGGAAUGUGACAAAUGGCAUGCAGGCGAGGAUCUUUCUGAAUAUGAUAGGACAGGGAGCCCACAAAGCCUGCCAGGGCUAGUUGAAGGGCAUCCGGGAAGGCAAGGGCUGAUUCGGUCUUUGGGUAGCGCUUCUUUACCUGUGAGAAAAGAAACUUAACACAUUUCAUUAGUGCCUGGCAGUGUUUUGCAGAUCUCAUAGCUGCUUGGGCACGUUCAAGCCCCACCCCCCUUUCCUUGGUUAUUAGCCAAGUCUUAGCUGUGAGCAGUGUCCUUGAAUGGAGACAGUGUCUUAUCUACAGUCUCCUAGCUACUUUUUUCUUUUCAGUUAACUCAUUCUGUUCCUUUUUUCUUCUCCCUUUUUGGCUUCCUUUAACCUGCAAAGGAAACUUUCACUCUUCACUUAUACACCUUUUCCCAACAACGAACACGUAAACAUUGCCAUUAUACAGUACAUUAGUCUUAUUAUUUAAUAUAUGCCACACAUACUCUUUUACUAAAAUAACCUUAUUACAGAACUUUGGAGCAACGAGCUAGAACAAGCACACCCACUUUGAGGAGUUCAUUCAAUUCAACCUCUAGUCCAAUAGCCUUCCACCAUCCCCAGCCCUCUGGCUAGAAAUU